rnacentral:rRNA from 1 species
AAUUUUUUUAAUUAAUAAAUUUAAAUCAAUGUUUUUAGGUUUUUUAUAAAAGUAAUUUAAAUUUUGAAUGUUUUAGUAUUAAGUAAAAAUUAAUUUAAAGAUUUAUAGUUAAUUAGUAUUGUAAAAGAAAUUAAAAUAAAUUUUAAAAAGAUUUGAUUUAGUACCUUUUGUAUCAGGGUUAAUUAAAAUAUUUAAUUUAAAAUUAAUUUCUCAAAAUUUAUAGAGUUAAUUUUAUUAUUAAUUUAUUGUUUUAAAAAUAUUUAGAAAAUAAUAUUAGUUUUGAAAUUUAAUUCGUUAUAAUAUAUUUAGUUAUUUAAGAUUUAAAUUAAAUUUAAAAUUUUAAAAGUUAUAUUGAUUUAUUUAAUAAUUAUUUUAAAUUUAAAGUAUUUUAGGGAUAAGCUUAAAAUUUUUAUAUAAUAAUUUAUUUAAAUGUAAUAUUUUAUAGGAAUAGAAAUUUUUAUUUAAGUUUGUAAAAAUUUAUUAUUUAUUUUAAUUUUAAAUUUAUUAUAAUUUAUUUAUUUUUAAUAUUAAAUUUUAUAAAAAAAUAUUUUUUUUAUAAUAAUAAUGAUUAAAUUAGUAUAAUUUAUUUUUAUUAAUUAUGAAUUUGGCAAAUUUUAUUUUCAUCUGUUUAACAAAAACAUAGUAUUUAGUUUAAUUAAAUAUAGGAUCUGCUCAAUGAGUUUUUGUUAAAUAGCUGCAGUAUUUUGACUGUGCAAAGGUAGCAUAAUAAUUAGUCUUUUAGUUGAGGACUAGAAUGAAAGAUUGGAUGAAAAAUAAGCUUUAUUAUUAAUAUAUUUAUAAUUUUAUUUUUAAGUAAAAAAGCUUAAAUAUUUUAAAGGGACGAUAAGACCCUAUAAAACUUUAUAAUUGUUUAGAUUUAUUUAUUUUUGAAAAUUAUUAUUUAGAUUAAAUGAUUAUUUUAUUGGGGGGAUAAAAAAAUUAUCUGAACUUUUUUUSAAAUUUAACAGUAGUUAAUGAUUAAUUGAAUUAAAAUUUUUAUUUAUAAGAAAAAGUUACUUUAGGGAUAACAGCGUAAUUAAUUUAUUAAGUUCAAAUUUUUAAAUUAGUUUGCGACCUCGAUGUUGAAUUAAGAUUAUUCUUGGGUGCAAAAUUUUAAGUAUUAGGUCUGUUCGA